rnacentral:rRNA from 1 species
UGUGUAGGCGGUUGUUUAAGUUUGGUGUGAAAUCUCCCGGCUCAACUGGGAGGGUGCGCCGAAUACUGAAUGACUAGAGUGCGGGAGAGGAAAGUGGAAUUCCUGGUGUAGCGGUGAAAUGCGUAGAUAUCAGGAGGAACACCGGUGGUGUAGACGGCUUUCUGGACCGUAACUGACGCUGAAACACGAAAGCGUGGGUAGCAAACAGGAUUAGAUACCCUGGUAGUCCACGCCCUAAACGAUGCACAUUUGGUGUGGGUCAUUCAGUUGAUCCGUGCCGGAGCUAACGCGUUAAAUGUGCCGCCUGGGGAGUACAGUCGCAAGGCUGAA